GGCCCAAAUUUCAACUAGAGUAAAUCAGUGGGUUUAGCUGACCCCACUGAUUUACUCUACUUUACGUUUGUGCCU
rfam:Haemonchus placei strain MHpl1 genome assembly, scaffold: HPLM_scaffold0000148